rnacentral:rRNA from 1 species
CGGGGCUUAAUGUCUUGUAAUUGGAAUGAUGGGAAUUUAAACCUCUUCCAGAGUAUCAAUUGGAGGGCAAGUCUGGUGCCAGCAGCCGCGGUAAUUCCAGCUCCAAUAGCGUAUAUUAAACUUGUUGCAGUUAAAAAGCUCGUAGUUGUAUUUCAGCCUCGCGUUUUUUCCCUCUUUUCGGGCCUUUUCGCUGGCUUUCUUUUUACUUUGAGAAAAUUAGAGUGUUUCAAGCAGACUUUUGUCUUGAAUACUUCAGCAUGGAAUAAUAGAGUAGGACCUUGGUUCUAUUUUGUUGGUUUUAGGUACCAAAGUAAUGGUUAAUAGGAACAGUUGGGGGCAUUCGUAUUUAACUGUCAGAGGUGAAAUUCUUAGAUUUGUUAAAGACGAACUACUGCGAAAGCAUUUGCCAAGGAUGUUUUCAUUAAUCAAGAAC